rnacentral:tRNA from 1 species
GGGAAGGUGGCUCAGUGGUAGAGUGCUUGCCUUGCAUGCAUGAAGAAGCCCUGGGUUCCAUCCCU